rnacentral:ribozyme from 1 species
AGUCGGCACAGCGACUAUAAAAAGGGCUUUAGGCUGUGAGCGUUACGCCCUGAGUGAUCAGGGCAUAGGUAGCC